AGAGUUUGAUCCUGGCUCAGAUUGAACGCUGGCGGCAUGCCUUACACAUGCAAGUCGAACGGUAACAGGUCUUCGGAUGCUGACGAGUGGCGAACGGGUGAGUAAUACAUCGGAACGUGCCCGAUCGUGGGGGAUAACGGAGCGAAAGCUUUGCUAAUACCGCAUACGAUCUACGGAUGAAAGCAGGGGACCGCAAGGCCUUGCGCGGACGGAGCGGCCGAUGGCAGAUUAGGUAGUUGGUGGGACAAAAGCUUACCAAGCCGACGAUCUGUAGCUGGUCUGAGAGGACGACCAGCCACACUGGGACUGAGACACGGCCCAGACUCCUACGGGAGGCAGCAGUGGGGAAUAUUGGACAAUGGGCGCAAGCCUGAUCCAGCCAUGCCGCGUGCAGGAAGAAGCAUCUAUGGUGUGUAAACUGCUUUUGUACGGGAAGAAACACUCCUUCGUGAAGGAGCUUGACGGUACCGUAAGAAUAAGGAUCGGCUAACUCCGUGCCAGCAGCCGCGGUAAUA
rnacentral:rRNA from 1 species